UACGGAGGGUGCGAGCGUUGUCCGGAAUCAUUGGGCGUAAAGGGCGCGUAGGUGGCCCGGUCAGUUCGUGGUGAAAGCGCGGGGCUCAACCCUGCGUCGGCCAUGAAUACUGCCGCGGCUGGAGCACUGUAGAGGCAGGCGGAAUUCCGGGUGUAGCGGUGGAAUGGCGUAGAGAUCCGGAAGAACACCGGUGGCGAAGGCGGCCUGCUGGGCAGUGCUGACACUGAGGCGCGACAGCGUGGG
rnacentral:rRNA from 1 species